AAAAAGUAGUGGGGAAGGUUCUCUCUGGUGCACCUAAUGAGAUCAUACUUGUCCUUGAUGGAAACACUGGUUUGAACAUGCUUCCACAAGCUAGAGAAUUCAACGAGGUAGCAUAUGGAACCACCUAAACCUAGUGUUUCUGGCUCCCCAAACUAUAAAUGCUUUGUAAAAUCUUGAGAUUUCUUGAGAUUUUGGUGGUCAGGUUGUUGGUAUAACCGGUUUGAUAUUGACGAAACUAUAUGGCUCUGCUAGAGGAGGCUGUGUGGUCAGUGUGGUUGAGGAAUUGGGCAUCCCUGUAAAGUUUAUUGGUGUAGGAAAAGCUAUAUCUAUAUGCACAUGUAAAUAUAUUUAUUUAGAUUAAAAAAAAAACUCUAUUUACUAAAUAAAAAUAUUUUAUUUUUGUUAAAGAGCUAUUGAAAAUAAAUAACUCUUCCAUCGGACAUGUCCUAAUU